ensembl:lncRNA
AGCCUUGGUCAUCUGCUUUGUUACUUCUGAAGUUACCACUUCAGAGAGUCCAGGCCUUCAGAUGUGCAAUGGCAAAAGAAUCAUCUAAGUAUUUCUGUGUUUCUUCUGGACAAUGGGAUUGAGAAUGAAGGUGGCAGCUGAACACGACUGUGAAUUCAAAGGCCACAGCGGCAACAGAGGACAAAAUCCAUCAUGAGCCUGAUGGGUUGGUGAGACGGAUUCAGGCACAGUGGGAAGGUGUAGGUUUGGCAAAAGGAUGAGGGUCCCACCUUAACAGCUGGUUUUUGGCAGUCUUCCCAGAAGUGCCUCCCUGAACUCUGAACAGCAGGUAUGAAUAAUGGCAGUUUCCAAAUCCUAUCACCCAGUCUUAAUCAUCCACAGCAUAGAUCCAUCCAGCAUGGCUUUAGUGAAUGCUUGGCCCAGUCGAAACAGAAGUUAAGUGCAGUAAAAGUUCUGGUGCAUCUAGUUAUAGCUGAGACUUUGUGCUGUCAGGCAUGUUUUUACUUGA